rnacentral:rRNA from 1 species
GACGAAUGCUGGCUGCGUGCUUAACACAUGCAAGUCGAGCGGUGAAGGAGAGCUUGCUCUCCGGAUCAGUGGCGAACGGGUGAGUAACACGUGGGCAACCUGCCCCUCACUCUGGGAUAACGCCGGGAAACCGGCGCUAAUACCGGAUACGACCAGGCGCGACAUCUCGCCUGGUGGAAAGAAUUUCGGUGAGGGAUGGGCCCGCGGCCUAUCAGCUUGUUGGUGGGGUAACGGCCCACCAAGGCGACGACGGGUAGCCGGCCGGAGAGGGCGACCGGCCACACUGGGACUGAGACACGGCCCAGACUCCUACGGGAGGCAGCAGUGGGGAAUAUUGCGCAAUGGGCGAAAGCCUGACGCAGCGACGCAGCGUGAGGGACGACGGCCUUCGGGUUGUAAACCUCUUUCAGCGGGGACGAAGCGAAAGUGACGGUACCCGCAGAAGAAGCACCGGCUAACUACGUGCCAGCAGCCGCCGUAACAC